AGACUCGUCCGGCAUCAUGUCGAUGGCAGCAUCGGUAUCAGCUUCCAUCGCGGCAUCAUCCACUAGAGCGACAGACAGUCCGGCAUCUUCAGCGACAGGCUGACCUACAGCGAUGGCCACCAAGCCUAAUACGAUGAUCUGUCAAACUAGAAAUGGAAAGAUGUUUGUUUGCAAGAGAGCCAGUGUUUACUGAUGUUUUGAAUACUCAACUGCGCGGGCUUAUAUACCAAGUUUCUUUCGCCCGUCCGUUUCGCUUUCAUUGCCAGUAGGUUGCACCCUGCACAGCAUCUGUCGGUUAGGAAAUUUUUUUUCCAUCGCGGAAAUCCUCGUAACAAUCAGGCCAAGGUUGUAGAGGUACCUGCUUCUUCGAGAGACUAUCUUUCUAGUUCUGUGCACGUAGUACAUUAAUCUGUCUCUACAUCCAUCGCAAAAACGCGAUGAUAAUGUAUAUUCGCCAAGGUUUCCCAUUAUCAAAAUGAAACUAUUUCCCGUUUAGCAAGUGUUUAAUCGCCUUUCCUGUGUAAGUGUAAUUUUUCGAACCAAGACCUUACCUUAUUUAUGACUGCUAUAGCUUUUUACCGCUUUUCUUUUCAAGUUUCGUUUGAACGUUACCAUUAGCUUCUGUCCCGUUUUAAUGGAACUGGCCUUCGGGAUAUGCAGAACAUGUUUUCGGGUCCAUUGUCUACAAAUUAGGAACCGUAACGAGGUAACUUGAUUUCGUGACAAGUGAUCGUGGUACUUAAAUUAUGAUAGUCAUCUGUAGUGUUGUUCACCUUCUUAUGACAGGAUUUGAUUUUCUGCAUUUCGGGAUUUCCUGAUUUUUUCUAACCU